CCAAUAUGCCACCUAAUACCCCAGGUCCCGAAGCCGUCCAUCAUCGUCCAUCCUCAGCGCAAGCCUCCUCACGAGAAAAAUUAUUCCGUAGCAACGCACGGACACUCUGCUGUACAAGAUAGUUUGGAUUGUUAACACUAACCGCCACACCAAGCCUUUAACACAAAAAAAAAAUCUCUACUCAAACUAUUUGACAGAACUCUAACAAACGUGUCCUCUGACAUGAAGUUCAGAUUAUGACUGCCUCCUGCUACUGCUAUCACCACAACCUGCGGCCACCACCUCCGUCGUCGCCCACCGGAUUGACCACUCCAGACCAAUAAAGACGACUCUACCCACU
rnacentral:lncRNA from 1 species